rnacentral:rRNA from 1 species
UACAGGGGGGGCAAGCGUUGUUCGGAAUUACUGGGCGUAAAGGGCUCGUAGGUGGCCAACUAAGUCAGACGUGAAAUCCCUCGGCUUAACCGGGGAACUGCGUCUGAUACUGGAUGGCUUGAGUGUGGGAGAGGGAUGCGGAAUUCCAGGUGUAGCGGUGAAAUGCGUAGAUAUCUGGAGGAACACCGGUGGCGAAGGCGGCAUCCUGGACCAUUACUGACACUGAAUAGCGAAAGCCAGGGGAGCAAACGGG